UGGCCGGUUUGGAUAAGCGCUGAAAGCAUCUAAGUGCGAAGCCAACUCCAAGAUAAGGUCUCCCACCGGGUUAACCGGGUAAGGGCCCUGGUAGACAACCAGGUUGAUAGGCCGGAGGUGUAAGAGAAGCAAUUCUUUGAGCUGACCGGUACUAAUAGCCCGAGGGCUUGUUCACCUAUAACUCACUCU
rnacentral:rRNA from 1 species